rnacentral:rRNA from 1 species
UUGAGUUUGGAUCAUGGCUCAGAUUGAACGCUGGCGGCAGGCCUAACACAUGCAAGUCGAGCGGUAACAGGAAGGAAGCUUGCUUUCUUUGCUGACGAGCGGCGGACGGGUGAGUAAUGCCUGGGAAAUUGCCCUGAUGUGGGGGAUAACCAUUGGAAACGAUGGCUAAUACCGCAUGAUGCCUACGGGCCAAAGAGGGGGACCUUCGGGCCUCUCGCGUCAGGAUAUGCCCAGGUGGGAUUAGCUAGUUGGUGAGGUAAUGGCUCACCAAGGCGACGAUCCCUAGCUGGUCUGAGAGGAUGAUCAGCCACACUGGAACUGAGACACGGUCCAGACUCCUACGGGAGGCAGCAGUGGGGAAUAUUGCACAAUGGGCGCAAGCCUGAUGCAGCCAUGCCGCGUGUAUGAAGAAGGCCUUCGGGUUGUAAAGUACUUUCAGUGGUGAGGAAGGGAGUGUGGUUAAUAGCCAUAUUCUUGACGUAGCCACAGAGAG